CGUGUAGGCGGCCAUGCAGGUCCGUUGUGAAAACUCGAGGCUCAACCUCGAGACGCCGAUGGAAACCGUGUGGCUAGAGUCCGGAAGAGGAGAGUGGAAUUCCUGGUGUAGCGGUGAAAUGCGCAGAUAUCAGGAAGAACACCCGUGGCUAAGGCGGCUCUCUAGUACGGUACUGACGCUGAGACGCGAAAGCGUGGGGAGCGAACA
rnacentral:rRNA from 1 species